AUUGAACGCUGGCGGCAUGCUUUACACAUGCAAGUCGAACGGUAACAGGCCUUCGGGUGCUGACGAGUGGCGAACGGGCGAGUAAUGCAUCGGAACGUGCCCAGCGGUGGGGGAUAACGCAGCGACAGCUGUGCUAAUACCGCAUGUGAUCUGAGGUUGAGAGGGGGGGACCAGGCAGCAAUGUUUGGCCUCGCGCCUUUGGAGCGGCCGAUGUCAGAUUAGGUAGUUGGUGGGGUAAAGGCCUACCAAGCCGACGAUCUGUAGCUGGUCUGAGAGGACGGUCGGCCACACUGGGAGUGGGACACGGCCAAGACUCCUACGGGAGGCAGCAGUGGGGAAUGUUGGACAAUGGGCGCAAGCCUGAUCCAGCAAUGCCGCGUGCGGGAAGAAGGCCUUCGGGUUGUAAACCGCUUUUGUACGGAACGAAAAGGCUCUGGCUAAUACCUGGGGCUGAUGACGGUACCGUAAGAAGAAGCACCGGCUAACUACGUG
rnacentral:rRNA from 1 species